UAUCUUCAGCUUCCUAUUGGUUAUCACAGAUUAAACUUUCUGAGUCAGCUUCAAAGCACUCAGUUUCGAUAGGUUUUUCAUGCUCUCCCUUGAGUCAGGAGUUGAGCCUCUGCAUCGAAUUCGUGACGAACUAAGGUCAUAUGUCCUAAAGUACAACCUUCUAGAUGGACUAGAAAACAUCACAAAGGAUAUGUUCAAUACUUACAAGAUACAAUAUCUUAAGAAGCCAUAGAUUGUGGAGAAUGAUUCUCAAUUACCAGAUCAUGUAGCCUUAAACUUGGGUGAGGUUCAUAAGAACACUACAAAUCUUCAUACGGCUCACUAAAGACUUUCUAUCUUGCUGUUCCUGUUACAGUAUAUCAAGCUCUUCAUGUCAAUAGUUAUCAAAAUAUUGUGUGCGUAAGA